rnacentral:rRNA from 1 species
AUUGAACGCUGGCGGCAGGCCUAACACAUGCAAGUCGGACGGUAGCACAGAGAGCUUGCUCUCGGGUGACGAGUGGCGGACGGGUGAGUAAUGUCUGGGAAACUGCCCGAUGGAGGGGGAUAACUACUGGAAACGGUAGCUAAUACCGCAUAACGUCUUCGGACCAAAGUGGGGGACCUUCGGGCCUCACACCAUCGGAUGUGCCCAGAUGGGAUUAGCUAGUAGGUGGGGUAAUGGCUCACCUAGGCGACGAUCCCUAGCUGGUCUGAGAGGAUGACCAGCCACACUGGAACUGAGACACGGUCCAGACUCCUACGGGAGGCAGCAGUGGGGAAUAGUGCACGAUGGGCGCAAGCCUGAUGCAGCCAUGCCGCGUGUAUGAAGAAGGCCUUCGGGUUGUAAAGUACUUUCAGCGGGGAGGAAGGCGAUGGAGUUAAUAGCUUCAUCGAUUGACGUUACCCGCAGAAGAAGCACCGGCUAACUCCGUGCCAGCAGCCGCAGUAA